AGUCUAGUCUGUGACCUGAGCCAUCAUGGUAGGGUGUCCAGGGUGAGGGGAGGGUGGUGUGAAUCCCCAGUAAUGCAGGUCCUUUCCAGGCCAGGCCCCUGGUCCCCAGGAGUGCGGGGAUGCCUGAGGUCUACUGCUGCCUUAUCCAGAGCUGCCAUCCCCGGCGAUGACUCAGAGUUCCUGUGGCCCCAGCAUCAUCCCUCCAUCCCUGGCUGUGAGGCAGGAGCAGAGUUGCAGACCUGAGAGGCCUUGAAUUUGUUUGAUAUAGGACUUUGCCACCAGACAAAGUGCUUUGCCUGUGAGGUCUGGCUUGGCCUGGCCUCUGAGAAAGAACAAACACAGACCUCACUGGAAGGAACCUGGAGAACGGGAGAGGAGAGGCUGCUGCUGUCUGCCCUCCCAGCAGCAGAUAUAAAGACAAUGGGCUUCUAAGUCCCCUAGAGUCCCAGCUGUGUAAUUUAAGGAAGGAGCAUGGAGAAGACAAGAACAAGGCUCUCAGAAGGAAAUGGUGUGGCUGGAGCCAUGAGAACUGGUUG
rnacentral:lncRNA from 1 species